rnacentral:rRNA from 1 species
UAGGGAAUCUUCGGCAAUGGACGAAAGUCUGACCGAGCAACGCCGCGUGAGUGAAGAAGGUUUUCGGAUCGUAAAACUCUGUUGUUAGAGAAGAACAAGGACGUUAGUAACUGAACGUCCCCUGACGGUAUCUAACCAGAAAGCCACGGCUAACUACGUGCCAGCAGCCGCGGUAAUACGUAGGUGGCAAGCGUUGUCCGGAUUUAUUGGGCGUAAAGCGAGCGCAGGCGGUUUCUUAAGUCUGAUGUGAAAGCCCCCGGCUCAACCGGGGGGGGUCAUUGGAAACUGGGAGACGUGAGUGCAGAAGAGGAGAGUGGAAUUCCAUGUGUAGCGGUGAAAUGCGUAGAUAUAUGGAGGAACACCAGUGGCGAAGGCGGCUCUCUGGUCUGUAACUGACGCUGAGGCUCGAAAGCGUGGGGAGCAAACAGG